AAAGGUAAGCUACUAAGAGCGAAUGGUGGAUGCCUUGACUGGUAAAGGCGAUGAAGGACGUACUAGACUGCGAUAAGCUACGGGGAGCUGUCAAGAAGCUUUGAUCCGUAGAUUUCCGAAUGGGGCAACCCAAUGUAUAGAGAUAUACAUUACCUAUAUAGGAGCGAACGAGGGGAAUUGAAACAUCUUAGUACCCUCAGGAAAAGAAAUCAAUAGAGAUUGCGUCAGUAGCGGCGAGCGAAAGCGUAAGAGGGCAAACCCAGUGCUUGCACUGGGGGUUG
rnacentral:rRNA from 1 species